UUAUGAUAAUGAAACUAUGAAAAUAAUAAAGCAUAAACAUAACAAAAAAAUGUUAAAAGAAAUAAAAUACUAAAAGAAAAUAAAAUGCUAAAAGAAAAAUAAAAUACUAAAAAAAAAAUGCUACACAUGAGUAUUGAACCCACCCCACUCAAGACUAUGAUACUACCCUUCUCCACCAAACCACUCAUGGUUAUUUAUUAUUUUGAUGUUACUUUAAAUAUAUAAACUAAGAUAGAUUAAACAUUAGAAUAAAAACUAAAAUAAAAAAAAAAGUCUGUUGGACUACCAGUAGUUAAACCCAGCCGCUUGGCUGUUGGGUUUUUCAAUGAGGGAUAAGUUGAAAACAUAAAAACAAUUAUUAACUAAUAACCUAGGAAUUUUAAACAACAUCUUUAAUGCUUUCAAAAUUUAUUCUGUUUAAAAUAAAUUAAAAAAGAAAGAAAAUAAGGAAAACGAAGCAAUGGACACUUCCGUCUCUCUCUCACACUGCGUCUCUCACCAUCUCAUAAACUCUCUCAAGCUCAAAGAAAUCGCUCCCUCUCAACGUAGCCGCUUCCGUCUCUCUCACACUGCGUCUCUCAUGACUCAACAGUCGCGUCUCUCUCAAUUGUCCUCAACCUCACCCAAUCGUCUCUCAAAC
rnacentral:lncRNA from 1 species